rfam:Pteropus alecto contig38564, whole genome shotgun sequence.
AUGCUCACUUUGGUAGCACAUAUACUAAACUUGGAAUGAUACAGAGAAGAUUAGUGUGACCCCUGCACAAGGAUGACACACAAAUGCAUGAAGUGUUCCAUAUUUAA